rnacentral:rRNA from 1 species
UACGUAGGGUGCGAGCGUUUAAUCGGAAUUACUGGGCGUAAAGCGUGCGCAGGCGGUUCGUUAUGUCCGAUGUGAAAGCCCCGAGCUCAACUUGGGAAUGGCAUUGGAAACUGGCGGGCUGGAGUGUGGCAGAGGGGGUGGAAUUCCGACGUGUAGCAGUGAAAUGCGUAGAGAUGUGGAGGAACACCGAUGGCGAAGGCAGCCCCUGGGCCAAUACUGACGCUCAUGCACGAAAGCGUGGGGAGCAAACAGG